UAUAGUAUACUGAAUAUCUCUUCUUGCUGUCAAUUCUCACAAAACCGCAGACUGGGUUCCGCAUAGCUUUCAAUAUGUUCGACACUGAUGGAAACCAAAGGGUUGAUAAAGAAGAGUUUCUUGUGUUGGAGAAGAUCUUCAGCACUGCAAGGCGUGACCC